GGUACAACGAGUCGCAAGACCGCGAAGGUUUAGCAAAUCUCUUAAAGCCGUUCUCAGUUCGGAUUGUAGGCUGCAACUCGCCUACAUGAAGUCGGAAUCGCUAGUAAUCGCGGAUCAGCAUGCCGCGGUGAAUACGUUCCCGGGCCUUGUACACACCGCCCGUCACACCAUGAGAGUUUGUAACACCCAAAGCCGGUGGGGUAACCUUUUGGAGCCAGCCGUCUAAGGUGGGACAGAUGAUUGGGGUGAAGUCGUAACAAGGUACC
rnacentral:rRNA from 1 species